CAGGGACAGAGAGAGACAGAGAGACAGAGAGAGAGAGAGUGAGAGAGAGAGGGAGAGAAGGAGAGCAUGCCGGGCGCCAGAAGCGGCAUCAACAAACAGGUGAAGCAGGCUGAGGAGGUGAAGGGUGCCAAUCCAUGAUUCUGUGAGUGGAAAGAUGGGGCAGAAUGCGGAAUGGAGAGUAGACGAAUGAGGUACCACCGUUGAAAAGUCAUUUUCUUCCUUUCCAGUCCGUGAGCCUGUUGUUCAUGAUGCACAUGCAUUCCCACCUGACCUGAGGUGAAUCUAUCUCUCUUAACCUGCAGCAGUCGAGAUGGAUGGUCAGUGUGGUGACUCUUGUAUUUACCUCUGAAAGCCUGUCUACAGUAUGUGCGGCUGGA
rnacentral:lncRNA from 1 species